CGUUGCAACAUCAAAGGGAAACAACUGUGUUUCCCUUUUUUCCUCCGUAACCGCUCCGACACAAUCGGAGAGAGCGCGCGGAGAGGCGGCGUGGAGUUAGGUCUAGCGGGGAGGCGACGGCGGCGGCUGAGGCGGUUCCGACCGGCAGCGGCGGCGUUCGAGGCGGUGCCGGAGAAGCUAGAAGCUGUCGCAGCGGCUUCUCCAAUCGUCGCAUUCCCCUUUACGGCUCUACCCCCACCACACUCUCACCCCGCGGCUGCUUGUUGCUGCGGUUCCGACCAGCGGCGGCGGCGGCUGUCUCUAUCCUCGGCGGCGGCUUCUAGCUCCAUUCCCGGCGUCGAGAGCACAUGUUGUAUUUUUGUCUCAGACUUUUGUGUUCUGUGUGUUCUUUUUCAAGGAUGCCUGAUUGGUGUAGUGGUUCCAACUUCAAGCAUAGAUGGGGCGGUGUGA
rnacentral:lncRNA from 1 species